rnacentral:rRNA from 1 species
UACGUAGGUGACAAGCGUUGUCCGGAUUUACUGGGCGUAAAGAGCGCGCAGGCGGUCGUUCAAGUCGAGUGUGAAAGCCCCCGGCUCAACUGGGGAGGGUCACUCGAUACUGAUCGACUCGAAGGCAGGAGAGGGAAGUGGAAUUCCCGGUGUAGCGGUGAAAUGCGCAGAUAUCGGGAGGAACACCAAUGGCGAAGGCAGCUCACUGGGACGGUACUGACGCUGAGACGCGAAAGCGUGGGGAGCAAACAGG